rnacentral:rRNA from 1 species
UUAUAAAAAGAUUUAUUUUAAAGUUUAGGAAAAAAGAUUUAUUUAAAUAAAGAAUUAUAUUUUUUAAUUAUUAGAUAAAGAAAAAAUAUUUAUUAAUUAUAGUUUAUAGUAUUGUAAAAGAAAAUUUUUAUAUUUAAGUAAGAAAAUUUUAUUUAUUGUAUCUUGUGUAUCAGAGGUUAUUUAGUUUUUAAAAAAUUUUUUUUGUUCUCGAAUUUUAAAGAGUUAAAUUUAUAUUUAUUUUAUUGUAAAAUAAAUAUUUUUUAUAUAGAUUUAGAAAUGAAACGUUAUUCGUUUUAAAAUAUAUCUAGUUUUUUAAGAAAUAAAUUUAAUUUAUUAAAUAUUUAAAAUAAUUUUUAAUUAAAAAUUUAUUUUAUUAUUUAAAAAUAAUUUGAGGGAUAAGCUUUAAAUUAAAAAUUUAAAAAAUUUAAUUUUUUAUAUAAAUUAUAGGAUUAGAAUUUUCUAUUUAUAAAAAAAUGUUAUAAUUAAUUAUAGUAAAUAAUAUUAUUUAUAUAAAUUUUUAAUUUUUAUAUUAAAAUAUUUAUUUUAAUAAAAAUAAUAAGGUAAUAAUGAUAAUAUUAGUAUAUAUUUAAUGUAAGUUUAUAUUAUUUAAGAGAAGUAAGAUUAAGGAAUUCGACAAAAGAAUUUUUCACCUGUUUAUUAAAAACAUGGUUUUUUGAAAAUAAUUUAAAAUUUGACCUGCCCAAUGAUGAGUUUAAUGGCCGCAGUAUUUUGACUGUGCAAAGGUAGCAUAAUCAUUAGUUUUUUAAUUGAAAGCUAGAAUGAAUGGUUUGAUGAAAAAAUUAUUAUCUAAGUUUUAAUUUUAUAAUUUUAUUUUUAAGUUAAAAAGCUUAAAUUUUUUAAGAAGACGAGAAGACCCUAUAGAGUUUGAUUUAUAAAAUAUUAUUUUUAUAAUGAUUUUAAUUAUUUAAUAAAUAUAUAAAUUUUAUUGGGGUGAUAAGAAAAUUAAAUUAACUUUUUUAUUUUAUAUCAUUAAUUUAUGAAUAAAUGAUCCUAUUAAUUAGAUUAAAAGAAAAAAUUACCUUAGGGAUAACAGCGUAAUUUUUUUUAAAGUUCUUAUUGAAAAAAAAGAUUGCGACCUCGAUGUUGGAUUAAAAUUUAAUUUUGGUGAAGAAGCUAAAAUUUUAAGUCUGUUCGACUUUUAUAAUUUUACAUGAUCUGAGUUUAAACCGGUGUAAGCCAGGUUGGUUUCUAUCUUUUAAACAAAAUAAUAUUUUAGUACGAAAGGACCAAAUAUUAAAAUAAAAUUUUUAGCUUAGAUUAAAUUUAAA